rnacentral:lncRNA from 1 species
ACUGCUGGGUCCAGUGCAUGACACUAAUAGGCAAAAAUAUUGCAGGGAGCUACUUUUCUGGAGAAACUAUUGGGAGCCUCAAUUUACCAUCAUAUAAGUACUCUUUCAAUUAAAGCAACUCACCUAGUUGCCAUUUUUCUUAGUAGUCAUGCUCUUUUUGCUAAGUUACAUUGAGUAUAGUGAUUACAAUGAUGUGCUAAUAUAGAAAAUUCAAGAAUUUCUCAUAACUUAGAAAUAAGUGCUGGAGGAGC